rnacentral:rRNA from 1 species
UAGGGAAUUUUCCACAAUGGACGAAAGUCUGAUGGAGCAACGCCGCGUGAACGAUGAAGGCUCUCGGGUCGUAAAGUUCUGUUGUCAGGGACGAACAAGUGCCGUUCGAAUAGGUCGGCACCUUGACGGUACCUGAUUAGAAAGCCACGGCUAACUACGUGCCAGCAGCCGCGGUAAUACGUAGGUGGCAAGCGUUGUCCGGAUUUAUUGGGCGUAAAGCGCGCGCAGGUGGUUAUGUAAGUCUGAUGUUAAAGCCCGGGGCUCAACCUCGGUCCGCAUUGGAAACUGUGUAACUUGAGUGCAGAAGAGGAAAGUGGUAUUCCACGUGUAGCGGUGAAAUGCGUAGAGAUGUGGAGGAACACCAGUGGCGAAGGCGACUUUCUGGUCUGUAACUGACACUGAGGCGCGAAAGCGUGGGGAGCAAACAGGAUUAGAUACCCUGGUAGUCCACGCCGUAAACGAUGAGUGCUAGGUGUUGGGGG